UGGGGUGUGGCUCAGCAGUAGAGCACUCGCCUAGCAUGUGCGAGGCGCUGGGUUUGAUCCUCAGCACCACUU
rnacentral:tRNA from 1 species